rnacentral:lncRNA from 1 species
UUUAAUGGUAGAAAUCUCUCAAACUAACAUUCAUCAUGCAAUAACUCCAUUAGAACCCUUACUUCAGCUUUCUUUCAGGUUAGGAAGUGAAAAGGAAUGCUUUUAUAGGUUAAAACGUCGAGUAAGCCAACAUACCGUAUUUUUGAGCCGACCCAGUUCGCGAUCCGGAUUCUUCCCAGGUAGUCCGCAGUAAAACCCUCAUAACUUUUUACUCCAAUAUCAGUUGGAUACGGGGUUUUGUGCUUUGCAAACUAGACUCGUAGGCCUUCGAUUUGAUAUGUGAUGAGCUUUGUAACUCUUUAUAUAUUGAGAGAAAACAUCCAAGACAUUUGACCCAAAGUUAAGAAAAUUUUAUUAGAGAAACUUCGAUAACUUUUGCCAACCUUAGUUUCGCUAAUUUUCUUGACUUCAAAACUUAACAUACGACCAUUGUGCUAGCAUAAUACCUCGUAACACAUUAUUCUUAGCAUGUUAAACACUCAUAGGAUUAUCCCUAAGGUAUGGGAUAAUUUUAAAUCAUUCAAACGGGUGAAGUGCUAUCCGAGCCAUUUCUUUAAUCCCGAACUUUGUUUGACCUAAACUUAGUUUAGUUCCGUGAUAUUGCCACCCUUUUUCAAUUUUAAUAUCCAAUGUACUAUACCAAGUAAUAUACAACUCAUAUAACCACGCCACAUAUAUCAUGCAGGAAUAGAGAAAAAAAAAGUAUGGGAUCUUACAUAAAAUCACUCCACUUGCAGCAAAAGAUAGUUCUAUGGUUCCAAACCACUUUAUGAUAAUAAGAUGAAUCAUAUACACUCAUCACCUUUUGAAUGAAUUGGCUCAGUACAUUGUGAUUGUAAAGAUUACAAGAUUUGAUUGAACAUUGCAAAUAGCCUUGUACAUCAAUUCUCAUGAUUUUUAAUCUUUUUUCUAGCAAUACAAUGCAUGUUCCAAUAUGAUAAUUUUCUAAGAGAAAGCAUAACCCCAUCUUUUAAGCACUCUUCCAUAUCUGUAUAAUUUAGACUUACACAAGCACUAGAUCAAAUGACAGAAAUUCGAUGAUGUAUUGGAUUCCACAAAUCUCUACAGUCAUAACCAAGAUUCAGCUCAUCUGUAAUAAGGUCAGAUAAACCAAUGUUUUCUUC